rnacentral:rRNA from 1 species
UACGGAGGGUGCUAGCGUUGUUCGGAAUUACUGGGCGUAAAGCGCGCGUAGGCGGCUUUGUAAGUUAGAGGUGAAAGCCCGGGGCUCAACCCCGGAACUGCCUUUAAAACUGCAUCGCUUGAAUCCGGGAGAGGUGAGUGGAAUUCCGAGUGUAGAGGUGAAAUUCGUAGAUAUUCGGAAGAACACCAGUGGCGAAGGCGGCUCACUGGACCGGCAUUGACGCUGAGGUGCGAAAGCUUGGGGAGCAAACAGG